UACGAAGGGGGCUAGCGUUGUUCGGAUUUACUGGGCGUAAAGCGCACGUAGGCGGAUCGUUAAGUCAGGGGUGAAAUCCUGGGGCUCAACCCCAGAACUGCCUUUGAUACUGGCGAUCUCGAGUCCGGAAGAGGUGAGUGGAACUCCUAGUGUAGAGGUGGAAUUCGUAGAUAUUAGGAAGAACACCAGUGGCGAAGGCGGCUCACUGGCCCGAUACUGACGCUGAGGUGCGAAAGCGUGGGGAGCAAACAGG
rnacentral:rRNA from 1 species